UACGUAGGGCGCAAGCGUUGUCCGGAAUUAUUGGGCGUAAAGAGCUCGUAGGCGGUCUGUCGCGUCGGAUGUGAAAAUCCAGGGCUCAACCCUGGACCUGCAUUCGAUACGGGCAGACUAGAGUUCGGUAGGGGAGACUGGAAUUCCUGGUGUAGCGGUGAAAUGCGCAGAUAUCAGGAGGAACACCGGUGGCGAAGGCGGGUCUCUGGGCCGAAACUGACGCUGAGGAGCGGAAGCGUGGGGAGCAAACAGG
rnacentral:rRNA from 1 species